GAUGAACGCUGGCGGCGUGCCUAAUACAUGCACGUCGAGCGAACGGACGAGAAGCUUGCUUCUCUGAUGUUAGCGGCGGACGGGUGAGUAACACGUGGAUAACCUACCUAUAAGACUGGGAUAACUUCGGGAAACCGGAGCUAAUACCGGAUAAUAUUUUGAACCGCAUGGUUCAAAAGUGAAAGACGGUCUUGCUGUCACUUAUAGAUGGAUCCGCGCUGCAUUAGCUAGUUGGUAAGGUAACGGCUUACCAAGGCAACGAUGCAUAGCCGACCUGAGAGGGUGAUCGGCCACACUGGGACUGAGACACGGUCCAGACUCCUACGGGAGGCAGCAGUAGGGAAUCUUCCGCAAUGGGCGAAAGCCUGACGGAGCAACGCCGCGUGAGUGAUGAAGGUCUUCGGAUCGUAAAACUCUGUUAUUAGGGAAGAACAUAUGUGUAAGUAACUGUGCACAUCUUGACGGUACCUAAUCAGAAAGCCACGGCUAACUACGUG
rnacentral:rRNA from 1 species